UGAACGCUAGGCGGCGUUGCUUAACACAUGCAAGUCGAACGAACCUUCGGGUUAGUGGCGGACGGGUGAGUAACGCGUGGGAAUCUGCCCUCAGGAGGGGGAUAACGGCUGGAAACGGCCGCUAAUACCCCAUAUGCCGAGAGGUGAAACGAAUUUCGCCUGAGGAUGAGCCCGCGUCUGAUUAGCUAGUUGGUGGGGUAAAGGCCCACCAAGGCGACGAUCAGUAGCUGGUCUGAGAGGAUGAUCAGCCACACUGGGACUGAGACACGGCCCAGACUCCUACGGGAGGCAGCAGUAGGGAAUUUUCCGCAAUGGGCGAAAGCCUGACGGAGCAACGCCGCGUGAGGGAUGAAGGCCUCUGGGCUGUAAAACCCUCUUUUACUCAAGGAAGAAGAUCUGACGGUACUUGAGGAAUAAGCCACGGCUAAUUCCGUGCCAGCAGCCGCGGUAAUCUGAUGGCGCGAGG
rnacentral:rRNA from 1 species